GGUUAAGCGACUAAGCGUACACGGUGGAUGCCCUGGCAGUCAGAGGCGAUGAAGGACGUGCUAAUCUGCGAUAAGCGUCGGUAAGGUGAUAUGAACCGUUAUAACCGGCGAUUUCCGAAUGGGGAAACCCAGUGUGUUUCGACACACUAUCAUUAACUGAAUCCAUAGGUUAAUGAGGCGAACCGGGGGAACUGAAACAUCUAAGUACCCCGAGGAAAAGAAAUCAACCGAGAUUCCCCCAGUAGCGGCGAGCGAACGGGGAGCAGCCCAGAGCCUGAAUCAGUGUGUGUGUUAGUGGAAGCGUCUGGAAAGGCGCGCGAUACAGGGUGACAGCCCCGUACACAAAAAUGCACAUACUGUGAGCUCGAUGAGUAGGGCGGGACACGUGGUAUCCUGUCUGAAUAUGGGGGGACCAUCCUCCAAGGCUAAAUACUCCUGACUGACCGAUAGUGAACCAGUACCGUGAGGGAAAGGCGAAAAGAACCCCGGCGAGGGGAGUGAAAAAGAACCUGAAACCGUGUACGUACAAGCAGUGGGAGCACGCUUAGGCGUGUGACUGCGUACCUUUUGUAUAAUGGGUCAGCGACUUAUAUUCUGUAGCAAGGUUAACCGAAUAGGGGAGCCGAAGGGAAACCGAGUAUUAACUGGGCGUUAAGUUGCAGGGUAUAGACCCGAAACCCGGUGAUCUAGCCAUGGGCAGGUUGAAGGUUGGGUAACACUAACUGGAGGACCGAACCGACUAAUGUUGAAAAAUUAGCGGAUGACUUGUGGCUGGGGGUGAAAGGCCAAUCAAACCGGGAGAUAGCUGGUUCUCCCCGAAAGCUAUUUAGGUAGCGCCUCGUGAAUUCAUCUCCGGGGGUAGAGCACUGUUUCGGCAAGGGGGUCAUCCCGACUUACCAACCCGAUGCAAACUGCGAAUACCGGAGAAUGUUAUCACGGGAGACACACGGCGGGUGCUAACGUCCGUCGUGAAGAGGGAAACAACCCAGACCGCCAGCUAAGGUCCCAAAGUCAUGGUUAAGUGGGAAACGAUGUGGGAAGGCCCAGACAGCCAGGAUGUUGGCUUAGAAGCAGCCAUCAUUUAAAGAAAGCGUAAUAGCUCACUGGUCGAGUCGGCCUGCGCGGAAGAUGUAACGGGGCUAAACCAUGCACCGAAGCUGCGGCAGCGACGCUUAUGCGUUGUUGGGUAGGGGAGCGUUCUGUAAGCCUGCGAAGGUGUGCUGUGAGGCAUGCUGGAGGUAUCAGAAGUGCGAAUGCUGACAUAAGUAACGAUAAAGCGGGUGAAAAGCCCGCUCGCCGGAAGACCAAGGGUUCCUGUCCAACGUUAAUCGGGGCAGGGUGAGUCGACCCCUAAGGCGAGGCCGAAAGGCGUAGUCGAUGGGAAACAGGUUAAUAUUCCUGUACUUGGUGUUACUGCGAAGGGGGGACGGAGAAGGCUAUGUUGGCCGGGCGACGGUUGUCCCGGUUUAAGCGUGUAGGCUGGUUUUCCAGGCAAAUCCGGAAAAUCAAGGCUGAGGCGUGAUGACGAGGCACUACGGUGCUGAAGCAACAAAUGCCCUGCUUCCAGGAAAAGCCUCUAAGCAUCAGGUAACAUCAAAUCGUACCCCAAACCGACACAGGUGGUCAGGUAGAGAAUACCAAGGCGCUUGAGAGAACUCGGGUGAAGGAACUAGGCAAAAUGGUGCCGUAACUUCGGGAGAAGGCACGCUGAUAUGUAGGUGAAGUCCCUCGCGGAUGGAGCUGAAAUCAGUCGAAGAUACCAGCUGGCUGCAACUGUUUAUUAAAAACACAGCACUGUGCAAACACGAAAGUGGACGUAUACGGUGUGACGCCUGCCCGGUGCCGGAAGGUUAAUUGAUGGGGUCAGCGCAAGCGAAGCUCUUGAUCGAAGCCCCGGUAAACGGCGGCCGUAACUAUAACGGUCCUAAGGUAGCGAAAUUCCUUGUCGGGUAAGUUCCGACCUGCACGAAUGGCGUAAUGAUGGCCAGGCUGUCUCCACCCGAGACUCAGUGAAAUUGAACUCGCUGUGAAGAUGCAGUGUACCCGCGGCAAGACGGAAAGACCCCGUGAACCUUUACUAUAGCUUGACACUGAACAUUGAGCCUUGAUGUGUAGGAUAGGUGGGAGGCUUUGAAGUGUGGACGCCAGUCUGCAUGGAGCCGACCUUGAAAUACCACCCUUUAAUGUUUGAUGUUCUAACGUUGACCCGUAAUCCGGGUUGCGGACAGUGUCUGGUGGGUAGUUUGACUGGGGCGGUCUCCUCCUAAAGAGUAACGGAGGAGCACGAAGGUUGGCUAAUCCUGGUCGGACAUCAGGAGGUUAGUGCAAUGGCAUAAGCCAGCUUGACUGCGAGCGUGACGGCGCGAGCAGGUGCGAAAGCAGGUCAUAGUGAUCCGGUGGUUCUGAAUGGAAGGGCCAUCGCUCAACGGAUAAAAGGUACUCCGGGGAUAACAGGCUGAUACCGCCCAAGAGUUCAUAUCGACGGCGGUGUUUGGCACCUCGAUGUCGGCUCAUCACAUCCUGGGGCUGAAGUAGGUCCCAAGGGUAUGGCUGUUCGCCAUUUAAAGUGGUACGCGAGCUGGGUUUAGAACGUCGUGAGACAGUUCGGUCCCUAUCUGCCGUGGGCGCUGGAGAACUGAGGGGGGCUGCUCCUAGUACGAGAGGACCGGAGUGGACGCAUCACUGGUGUUCGGGUUGUCAUGCCAAUGGCACUGCCCGGUAGCUAAAUGCGGAAGAGAUAAGUGCUGAAAGCAUCUAAGCACGAAACUUGCCCCGAGAUGAGUUCUCCCUGACUCCUUGAGAGUCCUGAAGGAACGUUGAAGACGACGACGUUGAUAGGCCGGGUGUGUAAGCGCAGCGAUGCGUUGAGCUAACCGGUACUAAUGAACCGUGAGGCUUAACCUU
rnacentral:rRNA from 1 species